rnacentral:rRNA from 1 species
GAGGUCGUUAGGUUAAGUCCUGUAACGAGCGCAACCUUGUUGCCAGUUAAAUUCUCUGGCGAGACUGCCCCGCAAAACGGGAGGAAGGUAGGGAUGACGUCAAGUCAGCACGGCCCUUAUACCCUGGGCCACACACACGCUACAAUGGGUGGUACAAUAGGUUGCAAUGGAGUGAUACCGGAGCUAAAUCCAAAAAACCAUCCCCAGUACGGAUUGCAGGCUGAAACCCGCGUGCAUGAAGCUGGAGUUGCUAGUAACCGCAGGUCAGCAUACUGCGGUGAAUACGUUCUCGGGCCUU